CCUACGGGUGGCAGCAGUGAGGAAUAUUGGUCAAUGGACGGAAGUCUGAACCAGCCAUGCCGCGUGCAGGAAGACGGCUCUAUGAGUUGUAAACUGCUUUUGUACAAGGGUAAACCUGAAUACGUGUAUUCAGCUGAAAGUACUGUACGAAUAAGGAUCGGCUAACUCCGUGCCAGCAGCCGCGGUAAUACGGAGGAUCCAAGCGUUAUCCGGAUUUAUUGGGUUUAAAGGGUGCGUAGGCGGAUUGGUAAGUUAGAGGGGAAAUGUCCGAGCUUAACUCGGGAACUGCCUCUAAUACUGUUGAUCUAGAGAGUAGGUGCGGUAGGCGGAAUGUAUGGUGUAGUGGUGAAAUGCUUAGAGAUCAUACAGAACACCGAUUACGAAGGCAGCUUACCAAUCUAUAUCUGACGUUGAGGCACGAAAGCGUGGGGAGCAAACAGGAUUAGAUACCCCAGUAGUC
rnacentral:rRNA from 1 species